GAAGAGAAGAACUACGUUCCCCAGAAGACUGUUCGAGUACUGUUAUCACUCCUGCUCAGGGGAACAGAUAUAAUGCCUGUAGGUCACCUGACCUGGGUCCUCUGCCUUCUUCUCAUCUUGUCGUGCUCGCUUUCGGAUCGUCUCGCUGCUGCUCCCGACUGCACGCAAGGCUUCGGUAUUAGUAUGUGACCUUCAGCUUAUUUUCAAAAAUGCCUGUGCCAUGGAAGAGAAAACGUGGGGUGACAAGAGGAAAGGAUCAGAGCAAAGCAGAGCUGCUGGAAACACAGAUACAGUUGGAAGUUGUGGGUCCUCCAAGAACACACGAUGCAGGAUCUAUAUUUCAGAAGGAAUGAAGGGAAGAUGAAGGUUUCAAGGUUCCUGGCAUCCUAUGUUGCAGCUGUCAGUUGAGGUUCAGGCUGGAUAUCAGGAAAAGAAGCACCAUCAGCUGCAUAGUGAGAAAGAAAAAGGGGGAUGAUAAUUACCCUCUUGCACAGCCCAUCAAGAUCAGAGAGAUGAUCUGCCGAAGACCUUGAUAGCUUCAUCAUAUGUUUUUCUCUCUUUUUAUUGUCAUAAUGAAGGAUUCAAAUGGUAACAUCAACUCUGAGCACAGAUAGGCACUAGCAUUUUCUGAUUCAGCAUUUAUCUAUGAUACUUUGGUUUUACACUAAUAGUUGACAGGCUGAAGCUCAGUGAAGCCAUAAUCCUAAAAGUAAAAACAAUGAAACAAUCAGCUGAUAGAAAUAGCAAUAGGACCUAUUUUAAGAGGAUGCAUAUGUGUAUAUAAAUAAAGAAAUAUUAAAUCAAAAUUUGCCUGUCAUAAAGUCAUUGUAUCAAAAUAACAGGAAUGAUUUAGAUUUCUGAGGACAGUACUUCUUUCAAUCCACAGUUUAAAUAAAGGCACGCAGAAUUACUGAAGCUUUAGCUGCCCUUUGUUCUCAAGGGAAAAAAAAAAAAAAAAAAAGACCAUAUGAAAAAAACAAUGAGAUAAAAUGGUGUCCGAAAGAAGAAUUAUUUAGCUGAUGGUGUAUCUUAAUACAUUGAGUCAGUCACUCUAACGACUGGACAGCAAUCCUGAGACAUCUGCGAUGAGUUCACCUAACACUGAAUUUUGAGGCCCUGUGAUUAUAAAGUAGCUAUAUGAUCGUGUCCAUUCUCUGUUAGCUUUUGUUUGUAUGUUUCACUUGCUAAAAAAGUAUUUUUAGCUUACAAAACAGGCAUAAUAAGUGAAACUCAGAACUGUGACCCAGAAAGAUCAUAUUAAAUGGGAUUUUUCUCUGUCA
ensembl:lncRNA